rnacentral:rRNA from 1 species
GAUGAACGCUGGCGGCGUGCUUAACACAUGCAAGUCGAACGGAAAGGCUCCUGCUUGCAGGGGUACUCGAGUGGCGAACGGGUGAGUAACACGUGGGUGAUCUGCCCUGCACUUCGGGAUAAGCCUGGGAAACUGGGUCUAAUACCGGAUAGGACCACAUUUUGGAUGGUGUGGUGGAAAGUUUUUCGGUGUGGGAUGAGCUCGCGGCCUAUCAGCUUGUUGGUGGGGUAAUGGCCUACCAAGGCGUCGACGGGUAGCCGGCCUGAGAGGGUGUACGGCCACAUUGGGACUGAGAUACGGCCCAGACUCCUACGGUAGGCAGCAGUGGGGAAUAUUGCACAAUGGGCGCAAGCCUGAUGCAGCGACGCCGCGUGGGGGAUGACGGCCUUCGGGUUGUAAACUCCUUUCGCUAGGGACGAAGCGUUUUUGUGACGGUACCUGGAGAAGAAGCACCGGCUAACUACGUG